UAUUAAUGUUGUAGUGACAGAUGGGGAGUCACCUUUGAUGGAGCCUGUGCUUUUAAUCCCCUGGAACUCCUCAUUACCAUUCAGUGAAAACUCCACUGAGGGAGUAGAAUUGCUUUCUGUAUGAGUUGCCAUUUUGGGCCUAGUUUCCCAUUGUCGUAAUAGAUUAUCUACAUCCAUGAAAUUUGCAGGUCCAGUGUGGCUUAUAAAAGUAAGGGUAUCAAAGUAUGUAUCCAACAAAAAUUAAUUUAUAUCAAAAUCAGUCUUGAAGCUAAAGUAGUGUGCGACCAUCCACUGUAGUUAACCAACUUUGUAAAUAGAAUAUAGGUAAGUUCUUAAUUAAACAGAAUUGUUACCUAAGUCCCUAAACAUAACCUAACAAUGUAUACCAUUUGAUGACUUAAUUCUUACUAUUUUAAAUUCUCUAAUUCAUUUUGAUGUGUACAUUUUUGUAUUAGUGGGUUGGCCCAAGCUCAUUUGGAUUUCCUGUUACCUGGAAGAUAUUCACUAUAGUUAACAAUUGUUUAACCUUGUUGAGGGUUUCACCAUAUUAAUUGUAUUCCACAGAUUAUUUUAAGACUCAGAUUUUUUUCUGAAUUUUCUCAAUUAUACCAGGCACUCUCAAUUU